rnacentral:rRNA from 1 species
GUGGCGAAAGGGGCAGUAAUGUAUGGGUAACCUACCUUGGGGUUCGGGAUAGCCAUUCUAACGGAUGGGUAACACUGAACGGCCUAAGUUGUUGGCAUCAAUAAUUUAGUAAAGGUUACGCCUCGAGAGGGGCCCAUAUGAUAUUAGCUAGUUGGUGAGGUAAUGGCUCACCAAGGCAAAGAUGUCUAGCGGGUGUGAGAGCACGACCCGCGUCAUUGGCACUGAGACACUGGCCAAACUCCUACGGGAGGCUGCAGUCGAGGAUCUUCGGCAAUGGACGAAAGUCUGACCGAGCAACGCCGCGUGUGCGAUGAAGGCCUUCGGGUUGUAAAGCACUGUCGAGGGGAAACAAGCCGUAAGGUUGAGUGACCCCUGGAGGAAGCACGGGCUAAGUUCGUGCCAGCAGCCGCGGUAAGACGAACCGUGCAAACGUUAUUCGGAAUCACUGGGCUUAAAGGGCGCGUAGGCGGGUGAUCAAGUCAAUGGUGAAAUCCUCCAGCUUAACUGGAGAAGUGCCUUUGAUACUGAUUGUCUAGAGGGAGGUAGGGGCAUGUGGAACUUCAGGUGGAGCGGUGAAAUGCGUAGAUAUCUGAAGGAACGCCAGUGGCGAAAGCGAUGUGCUGGACCUCUUCUGACGCUGAGGCGCGAAAGCUAGGGGAUCAAACGGGAUUAGAUACCCCGGUAGUCCUAGCCCUAAACUAUGGGUACUAGAUUGUGGACUUUCAUGGGUUCACAGUCGAAGCAAAAGUGUUAAGUACCCCGCCUGGGGAGUAUGGUCGCAAGGCUGAAACUCAAAGGAAUUGACGGGGGCUCACACAAG